rnacentral:rRNA from 1 species
CUGCUGCCUUCCGUAGGAGUCUGGGCCGUGUCUCAGUCCCAGUGUGGCCGUCCACCCUCUCAGGCCGGCUGCUGAUCGUCGCUUUGGUGGGCCGUUACCCCGCCAACUGGCUAAUCAGACGCGGGCCCAUCCUGUACCACCGGAGUUUUCAAAGGGUUACCAUGCGGUAUUCCCUAUUAUGCGGUAUUAGCACCUAUUUCUAAGUGUUAUCCCCCGGUACAGGGCAGGUUGCCCACGCGUUACUCACCCGUCCGCCACUAAGACAGAU